ACUUGAGUAGAGUGGCGCACGGGUGAGUAACGCGUAAAUAAUCUACCCUGAUGUCUGGAAUAACCAGCCGAAAGGCUGACUAAUACGGGAUACAUGUAUACCUGCUGGGGUAUACAGGAAAGGUGGCCUCUUCUUGAAAGCUAUCGCAUUGGGAUGAGUUUGCGUACCAUUAGCUAGUUGGUGGGGUAAAGGCUUACCAAGGCAACGAUGGUUAGCGGGUCUGAGAGGAUGAUCCGUCACACUGGCACUGGAACACGGGCCAGACUCCUACGGGAGGCAGCAGUGAGGAAUAUUGCGCAAUGGGGGAAACCCUGACGCAGCGACGCCGCGUGAGUGAGGAAGGCCUUCGGGUCGUAAAGCUCUGUCAGAAGGGAAGAAGUGUAGCGUAGUUAAUACCUGCGCUAUUUGACGGUACCUUCAAAGGAAGCACCGGCUAACUCCGUGCCAGCAGCCGCGGUAAUACGGAGGGUGCGAGCGUUGUUCGGAAUCACUGGGCGUAAAGGGCGCGCAGGCGGUUUCAUUAAGUCAGAUGUGAAAUCCCACGGGCUUAACCGU
rnacentral:rRNA from 1 species